UACGGAGGGAGCUAGCGUUGUUCGGAAUUACUGGGCGUAAAGCGCGCGUAGGCGGCUUUGUAAGUUAGAGGUGAAAGCCCGGGGCUCAACCCCGGAAUUGCCUUUAAGACUGCAUCGCUUGAAUCCGGGAGAGGUGAGUGGAAUUCCGAGUGUAGAGGUGAAAUUCGUAGAUAUUCGGAAGAACACCAGUGGCGAAGGCGGCUCACUGGACCGGCAUUGACGCUGAGGCGCGAAAGCGUGGGGAGCAAACAGG
rnacentral:rRNA from 1 species